rnacentral:tRNA from 1 species
UAAAUUGUAGACUAAUAGGCAAGUCACCUGUAUUUGGAGCAGGUAUAUGUAAGUUCGAAUCUUACCAAUUUAA